GACGAACGCUGGCGGCGUGCCUAAUACAUGCAAGUUGAGCGAUGAAGAUUGGUGCUUGCACCAAUUUGAAGAGCAGCGAACGGGUGAGUAACGCGUGGGGAAUCUGCCUUUGAGCGGGGGACAACAUUUGGAAACGAAUGCUAAUACCGCAUAACAACUUUAAACAUAAGUUUUAAGUUUGAAAGAUGCAAUUGCAUCACUCAAAGAUGAUCCCGCGUUGUAUUAGCUAGUUGGUGAGGUAAAGGCUCACCAAGGCGAUGAUACAUAGCCGACCUGAGAGGGUGAUCGGCCACAUUGGGACUGAGACACGGCCCAAACUCCUACGGGAGGCAGCAGUAGGGAAUCUUCGGCAACGGACGAAAGUCUGACCGAGCAACGCCGCGUGAGUGAAGAAGGUUUUCGGAUCGUAAAACUCUGUUGGUAGAGAAGAACGUUGGUGAGAGUGGAAAGCUCAUCAAGUGACGGUAACUACCCAGAAAGGGACGGCUAACUACGU
rnacentral:rRNA from 1 species